AAGCUCAGUAACACGUGGCCAAACUACCCUGUGGAUGGGAACAAUCUCGGGAAACUGAGGCUAAUUCCCAAUAACGCUCCACCCCUGGAACGGGCGGAGCUGGAAACGCUACGGCGCCACAGGAUGUGGCUGCGGUCGAUUAGGUAGACGGUGGGGUAACGGCCCACCGUGCCAAUAAUCGGUACGGGUUGUGAGAGCAAGAGCCCGGAGACGGAAUCUGAGACAAGAUUCCGGGCCCUACGGGGCGCAGCAGGCGCGAAACCUUUACACUGUACGCAAGUGCGAUAAGGGGACUCCGAGUGUGAAGGCAUAGAGCCUUCACUUUUGUACACCGUAAGGUGGUGUACGAAUAAGGGCUGGGCAAGACCGGUGCCAGCCGCCGCGGUAAUACCGGCAGCCCGAGUGAUGGCCGAUAUUAUUGGGCCUAAAGCGUCCGUAGCUGGCCGGACAAGUCCGUUGGGAAAUCUGUUCGCUUAACGAGCAGGCGUCCAGCGGAAACUGUUCGGCUUGGGACCGGAAGACCUGAGGGGUACGUCCGGGGUAGGAGUGAAAUCCUGUAAUCCUGGACGGACCACCGGUGGCGAAAGCGCCUCAGGAGGACGGAUCCGACAGUGAGGGACGAAAGCUAGGGUCUCGAACCGGAUUAGAUACCCGGGUAGUCCUAGCUGUAAACGAUGCCCGCUAGGUGUGGCGCAGGCUACGAGCCUGCGCUGUGCCGU
rnacentral:rRNA from 1 species